UAGUCCACGCCGUAAACGAUGUGUGCUAGCUGUCGGGCUUUAGGGUUCGGUGGCGGAGCGAAAGUAUUAAGCACACCGCCUGGGGAGUACGGCCGCAAGGUUAAAACUCAAAGGAAUUGACGGGGACCCGCACAAGCGGUGGAGCACGUUCUUUAAUUCGAAGCAACGCGAAGAACCUUACCCACUCUUGACAUCCUUCUUUUGACUUUCAGAGAUGAUUGUCUUCGGUUCGGCCGGGGAAGUGACAGGUGCUGCAUGGCUGUCGUCAGCUCGUGUCGUGAGAUGUUCGGUUAAGUCCGGUAACGAGCGCAACCCUUAUUGUUAGUUGCCAUCAUUCAGUUGGGCACUCUAAUGAGACUGCCGGUGAUAAGCCGGAGGAAGGCGGGACGACGUCAAGUCAUCAUGGCCCUUACGAGUGGGGCUAGAAACGUGCUACAAUGGCUGUGACAAUGGGCAGCGAACCAGCGAUGGUGAGCGAAUCCCUAAACGCAGUCUCAGUUCGGAUUGU
rnacentral:rRNA from 1 species